rnacentral:rRNA from 1 species
AGAGUUUGAUCAUGGCUCAGGAUGAACGCUAGCGGCAGGCCUAAUACAUGCAAGUCGAGGGGCAGCACGGUGUAGCAAUACACUGGUGGCGACCGGCAAACGGGUGCGGAACACGUACGCAACCUUCCUUUGAGUGGGGAAUAGCCCAGAGAAAUUUGGAUUAAUACCCCGUAAGAUCGUGGUGAGGCAUCUCACAGCGAUAAAAGCUGAGGCACUUAAAGAUGGGCGUGCGCCUGAUUAGGUAGUUGGUGAGGUAACGGCUCACCAAGCCGACGAUCAGUAACUGGCGUGAGAGCGCGACCAGUCACACGGGCACUGAGACACGGGCCCGACUCCUACGGGAGGCAGCAGUAAGGAAUAUUGGUCAAUGGACGCAAGUCUGAACCAGCCAUGCCGCGUGGAGGAUGAAGGUCCUCUGGAUUGUAAACUUCUUUUAUCUGGGAAGAAAUGUGCGCUUUCUAGCGUAUUUGACGGUACCAGAUGAAUAAGCACCGGCUAACUCCGUGCCAGCAGCCGCGGUAAUACGGAGGGUGCAAGCGUUAUCCGGAUUCACUGGGUUUAAAGGGUGCGUAGGCGGAACUGUAAGUCCGUGGUGAAAUCUCCGAGCUUAACUCGGAAACUGCCGUGGGUACUGUGGUUCUUGAAUGUUGUGGAGGUUUGCGGAAUAUGUCAUGUAGCGGUGAAAUGCUUAGAUAUGACAUAGAACACCGAUUGCGAAGGCAGCAGGCUACACAAAUAUUGACGCUGAGGCACGAAAGCGUGGGGAUCAAACAGGAUUAGAUACCCUGGUAGUCCACGCCCUAAACGAUGAUUACUCGACAUACGCGAUACACAGUGUGUGUCUGAGCGAAAGCAUUAAGUAAUCCACCUGGGAAGUACGACCGCAAGGUUGAAACUCAAAGGAAUUGACGG